CCCGCGAGGGCAAGCCAAUCCCAGAAACCCUAUCUCAGUCCGGAUUGGAGUCUGCAACUCGACUCCAUGAAGUCGGAAUCGCUAGUAAUCGCAGAUCAGCAUUGCUGCGGUGAAUACGUUCCCGGGCCUUGUACACACCGCCCGUCACACCAUGGGAGUUUGUUGCACCAGAAGCAGGUAGCUUAACCUUCGGGAGGGCGCUUGCCACGGUGUGGCCGAUGACUGGGGUGAAGUCGUAACAAGGUAGCCGUAUCGGAAGGUGCGGCUGGAUCACCUCCUUU
rnacentral:rRNA from 1 species